rnacentral:tRNA from 1 species
GCGCGGUUAGCUCAGUUGGUUAGAGCGCUACCUUGACACGGUAGAGGUCACAGGUUCGAAUCCUGUAUCGCGCA